GAGAUAAAUCAAUUUAAAGAAAAAUUAGAAAUAAACAAUAAAGAAAUUAAAAAUAAGAAAUUAAAAAUAAAUAAUAUAGAUGUUGAAGAAAUAGAUAAUUAUGAUUCAGAAGAUAGUGAAACAUAUAUAGAAAUAUUAACAAAUACAAAAAAUUUAGAAAUCAAUGAAAAACAAGAAUAAUUAACGUAGAAAACUUAGAAACUAUCAACACAGAAAUAAAUACUCUUGUUAAAAAAGAAGAUGAAAAUAUAAUACCUAGA
rnacentral:lncRNA from 1 species